CAGCAGCCGCGGGAAUACGAAGGGUGCAAGCGUUAAUCGGAAUUACUGGGCGUAAAGCGUGCGUAGGCGGUGAGUUAAGUCUGCUGUGAAAUCCCCGGGUUCAACCUGGGAAUGGCAGUGGAUACUGGCUCGCUAGAGUGUGUCAGAGGAUGGUGGAAUUCCCGGUGUAGCGGUGAAAUGCGUAGAGAUCGGGAGGAACAUCAGUGGCGAAGGCGGCCAUCUGGGACAACACUGACGCUGAGGCACGAAAGCGUGGGGAGCAAACAGGAUUAGAUACCCGCGUAGUCCCUGUCUCUUAUAC
rnacentral:rRNA from 1 species